GGAGGUUUAGCUUGGCGGUAUAAGCACCUGCCUUGGAAGCAGGCAGUCGUGAGUUCGAUCCCUGUUACCAAUA
rfam:Cavia porcellus supercont2_2 genomic scaffold, whole genome shotgun sequence.